GAUGAACGCUGGCGGCGUGCCUAAUACAUGCAAGUCGAGCGAACGGACGAGAAGCUUGCUUCUCUGAUGUUAGCGGCGGACGGGUGAGUAACACGUGGAUAACCUACCUAUAAGACUGGGAUAACUUCGGGAAACCGGAGCUAAUACCGGAUAAUAUUUUGAACCGCAUGGUUCAAAAGUGAAAGACGGUUUUGCUGUCACUUUUAGAUGGAUUCGCGCUGCAUUAGCUAGUUGGUAAGGUAACGGCUUACCAAGGCAACGAUGCAUAGCCGACCUGAGAGGGUGAUCAGCCACACUGGAACUGAGACACGGUCCAGAAUCCUACGGGAGGCAGCAGUAGGGAAUCUUCCGCAAUGGGCGAAAGCCUGACGGAGCAACGCCGCGUGGGUGAUGAAGGUCUUCGGAUCGUAAAACUCUUUUAUUAGGAAAGAACAUAUGUGUAAGUAACUGUGCACAUCUUGACGGUACCUAAACAGAAAGCCACGGCUAACUACGUG
rnacentral:rRNA from 1 species